rnacentral:rRNA from 1 species
CCUACGGUGUGCAGCAGUGGGGAAUAUUGCACAAUGGGCGAAAGCAUGAUGCAGCAACGCCGCGUGAGCGAUGAAGGCCUUCGGGUCGUAUAGCUCUGUCCUCAAGGAAGAUCAUGACGAUACUUGAGGAGGAAGCCCCGGCUAACUACGUGCCAGCAGCCGCGGUAAUACGCAGGGGGCUAGCGUUAGCCGGAAUUACUGGGCGUAAGGGGUGCGUAGGUGGUUUCUUAAGUCAGAGGUGAAAGGCUACGGCUCAAACGUAGUAAGCCUUUGAAACUGGGGAACUUGAGUGCAGGAGAGGAGAGUGGAAUUCCUGGUGUAGCGGUGAAAUGCGUAGAUAUUAGGAGGCACACCAGUUGCGAAGGCGGCUCUCUGGACUGUAACUGACACUGAGGCACGAAAGCGUGGGGAGCAAACAGGAUUAGAUACCCUUGUAGUC